CAGUACACUCAUCCAUAAAGUAGGAAACACUACACUUGGACACAAGCGUUUAGUAGUGCUUUCUACUUUAUGGAUGAGUCCACUGU
rnacentral:pre_miRNA from 1 species